UGGGGAAUUUUGGACAAUGGGCGAAAGCCUGAUCCAGCAAUGCCGCGUGUGUGAAGAAGGCCUUCGGGUUGUAAAGCACUUUUGUCCGGAAAGAAAUCCUUGGCUCUAAUACAGCCGGGGGAUGACGGUACCGGAAGAAUAAGCACCGGCUAACUACGUGCCAGCAGCCGCGGUAAUACGUAGGGUGCAAGCGUUAAUCGGAAUUACUGGGCGUAAAGCGUGCGCAGGCGGUUUGCUAAGACCGAUGUGAAAUCCCCGGGCUCAACCUGGGAACUGCAUUGGUGACUGGCAGGCUAGAGUAUGGCAGAGGGGGGUAGAAUUCCACGUGUAGCAGUGAAAUGCGUAGAGAUGUGGAGGAAUACCGAUGGCGAAGGCAGCCCCCUGGGCCAAUACUGACGCUCAUGCACGAAAGCGUGGGGAGCAAACAGGAUUAGAUACCCUGGUAGUCCACGCCCUAAACGAUGUCAACUAGUUGUUGGGGAUUCAUUUCCUUAGUAACGUAGCUAACGCGUGAAGUUGACCGCCUGGGGGAGUACGGUCGCAAGAUUAAAACUCAAAUGAAUUGACGGGGUCAUAGCUGUUUCCU
rnacentral:rRNA from 1 species